rnacentral:rRNA from 1 species
UACGAAGGGUGCAAGCGUUACUCGGAAUUACUGGGCGUAAAGCGUGCGUAGGCGGUUUGUUAAGUCCGUUGUGAAAGCCCUGGGCUCAACCUGGGAAUUGCAGUGGAUACUGGCGAGCUAGAGUGCGGUAGAGGAUGGUGGAAUUCCCGGUGUAGCGGUGAAAUGCGUAGAGAUCGGGAGGAACACCCGUGGCGAAGGCGGCCAUCUGGACGGUGACUGACGCUGAGACGCGAAAGCGUGGGGAGCAAACAGG